rnacentral:rRNA from 1 species
CAUCGUUUUUUGAUUAAAAAUUUAAGAUCUAGCCUGCCCAAUGAAUAUUUAAAUGGCCGCGGUAUUUUGACCGUGCUAAGGUAGCAUAAUCAUUAGUUUCUUAAUUAGAAGCUGGAAUGAAUGGUUGGACAAGAAAAAAUCUGUCUCUUUAUAAUUUUAUAGAAUUUAACUUUUUAGUCAAAAGGCUUAAAUUUAUUUAAAAGACGAGAAGACCCUAUAGAGUUUUAUUAAUGAUUAUAUAAUUUAAUAUUAGUAUAAAAUUUAUUUAUAUAUUAAUUAAUUUGGUUGGGGUGAUUAGGAGAUAAAAUUAACUCUUUUUGAAUUGAUUUAUAAAUUAAUAUUUGUUUGAUCCAAUUUUUUUGAUUAUAAGAAUAAAUUACCUUAGGGAUAACAGCGUAAUUUUUAUGGAGAGUUCUUAUCGAUAUAAAAGUUUGCGACCUCGAUGUUGGAUUAAAAUUUAUUUUGGGUGUAGAAGCUUGAAAAUUAAGUCUGUUCGACUUUUAAAAUUUUACAUGAUCUGAGU